UGUGGCACCAAAAUAAGACCUGCUUCCAAAGUUGCACAACAUGCCCCACUUCCAAGACGUAUUCUUGGGCGAGCUAAUCGAAGGUUAAACGCAAACAAGGCGGUCACAGAUGUUAGCGGCGUUUCACCACGUUUAUUUCCGAAUGUUGAGUGGGAAUGUUGCUUGAUUUGUAGGCUAUUCAUGCAAAGACUCGUUUGACGACUUUUUCGUGACUUUGGAAACGUGACGUGAGCGCAGGUUUCUAAGGAGAACUUCAGCUACUGACCAACUGGCACCUGCUUACCUGAAGGGAUCAAAACCACUGCCCACAACACAGGCUUAUCUGCCCGACACCAUAGGAUAAGCAAGCAGUGGUGGCAGAGGAGUGAGCGAGCCAGAAGUCUUUGGGAUCUGGGCUUUUUAAAGACCUCAGAGGAGUUCUGCUAUACGGCGUGGCGGCUUCUGACGGGGCGCUGCAGGAGGAGAGCAGGAGACGCGGGGGAGACGCGCGGGAGUCGCGCGGCACAGGAGCACAAUCGCCUCCUUGUCUCGCAUCUCUCCCCUUUGAAAAAUAAAUACAUAAAGCAGGGCUAUCCCCCUCUUUGUAUGGUGUGUGUGUG